CGUCUACCCCGGAGCGCCACCGCCCCGCCACCCCCGCCCAUGGGACCAGUGGUCCCAUCACCGGUCCACCCCCACCCAGAUCUGCCGGAGGUGCACUAGAUCCUUCCUCACGGCCGGUUCCCACGACUCGGUCGCCGCCCCAACCGCUGUAGCAGCCGAGCACCUCCACUAGGUGCCCCGGCGGUUCGGACCCCCACCUGGCUCCUCCCUCGAACCCAGCGAGCCUCCGCCCCGGCCUACUUCCCGCGCGAGGUCGCCUCCGCCUCCUCCUGGUGCACCGCCGCCUCCACCAUCUUCCGACACAAGGCCGUCCCCUCCUUCAGGGUGAGGUGGAUUUGCCUGUAAUGAAAUCCAAAGACAUGGCUCAAUUUUUUUUCUUUGAAUGGCUUCUACCAAAGAAGCAUGUCAACACACACCCAUGGAUGGAUGGGGAUGGGGCGACGACGGCGGCUGUGGCGGCCUUCUCUCGGUGCUUGCUGAUGUGGUGGAUAUCGAUGUCGGUGACGGGUUGCAGCACGUAGAUGUCAAAGGCUGCGGGUGUAACGGAGGAGCACCAUGGCGGGUGUGCAGGCCAUGGCUCGCUAUGGAAGGCCCUUCCCUUCCCUCUCUCUGUUCGGGCCAUGCUCAGGCACGACGACCUAUGGAAGGAAGGGGACGCCAACGACCUAUGGAAGGGAGGGAAGGGGAGGCCGGUGAAUUGGGGUAGGGGAUGCGGGUGACCUGGGGAAGGGCGGUCGGGGGCUGUUUAGCUCGCCGUCGCUGUCGGCAGCCGGCGGACACCACCCGUCGCUUGGAGGACGACAGUAAUGGAGUAAGAGGGGGCGUAUCGGGAAGGAGUUUUGGGCGAUGGGAGGAGGGGAACAGCAGCCGCGCUAGGCAGCAAGCCUCGCCGUGCCGCUUGGUGGCCGAGAUGUGGCCGCCCCAUGCUCUGAUCCGAUGGGCCUCCUCUGCUUGAUGGUUGCACUUGUUGAGUUUGGUACGGUUUCCUAUUGUUAGCUGUGUCGAGCCUUGGGUCUUGUCUCUUCUUUGCAUUGAGGUUAGUCCACUCCUAUGUGCUUGCCUAUAUAAUGCUCGGUGAAAUGUGUGUGUGUUGAUGCUUGUUCUACGGUUCAACCUACUUCUCCUAUCACUGUUGCUUCUUCUUCUCGUCCGUCCUGCUGCUUACCCAAUGUGCUUCUGCUUGCUGCCUGAGGUUGUACGAUCUCUUCUGUCGCUGUGUCUCAUCAAGUUCAUUACAACACCAAUUAUGGAUAUGGAUCCAUCUUGCUGCACUGGAUGUAAUAAGAAUUGCAUGUGAUAAGCAGGCGCCUCCUGUAGGUAUGAAUUUUUGCUAAUAUCAUUGAAUUUCUCCUGAGAUCUCUCUAGACCUUUCCAAAUGUAUUUUAGUUCAGUGUUUGUAUUAACUAGCAGAAGAAGGGAUGCUAAUGGAAAGAAUUUGAGAUGCAUAAACAUGAAAGCACUAAAAGAUUUGCUCGAAGCAAAGAUGGCUAGCCGAGAUACAUAUGGCAAGAAUCUUCGGAGAUUGACAUCUUUUCAUCUUCUAUUGAGAUAUACUUGCCCAUGGGUCACAACUCAUGAAGUUACUUCCUUUUGGUUUUGAUUUUGAAUUAUAUGUGUCAUAGGUCUCAACUGAUGAAGUUACUUCCUUUUGGUGAAGGUCUGAAUGUCAUCACGAUCUUGGCUGAGAGGCAGACAUUUUGGAAGUCUGUUAUUGCCGUUAUCUUCUUGGGAGUACUUGAGAAGGCGUGGCUGGGAAUGUGGGGACACGCCAUGGCAGAGGCGCAUGUUCGGCAGGAGGAGUCAGGGAGGCAUGAAGGUGGACAUGUGGAUGUUAUCGUGGCAUUGACACAUUUCUCUCCACCGAUGCUAUAUACCAGGGUGAGUGAAUGCUAUCGUGGCCUUAGAUGCCCUGUCUAAUUCUUGCUUGAAUUUUUGGUUUUGUAUGCUUGGAUGUAUGUUCAGUUCCUACAUUGUUUUUCUCAUGUGGAGUUGAAACCACAUUUGGUUGCUCCAAUAGCAAAUAAUUGUAUGUUUCACUCUGAAAUCAUAUUGCAUAUAGAGAGAUGUUCAUUGUUAGUCAUCGGGUUGUGGUAUGAAUUGACAACUUUCAUAGUCAGCUUACCAUGUCAUCUAUUAAGAAUCAAGCAAAUUUGGGCCUCUAAAAAACACUCAGGUUGACGCAGUAAUUUUGGCAAAAUGAGAUACUAUGAUUUUCCUCUCUUUAAUUUUGAAUUACCUUUGACAAGAAAAUGUUUCCUGUUUUUUGGUCUAACCUGUCGUAAUUUUGUCUUGUUGGUCCAUCUAUAUGAGAACCUUCUAAGUGGAAGUCACAUGGUGGAGCCUUUGACAGGAAAAUGUUUGUCUUGUCUGUCCAUCUAUAUGAGAACCUUCUAAGUGGAAGUCACAUGGUGGAGUCUCAGUAUGUCAAGUACAGUUUGAUUAAGUACAGUUUGAUUAGUAUGACAAGUCAUGUCAGCGGGAUGAAUAUUUACGAGGUUGAUUAUCUCCCAGGAAGACAACUAGAAAGGUCAUCAUUUGUAUAUUUCCUCUUCGGAGGGUGAUCUCGUCGCCCACGGAGAAGCAAUCCAAGGAGAAGAUAGUAGGUUCUGCGCCCAACCUCUGCUCCCUAUCAAAGGAGGGGAAGUGGUUGCGAGCAUGCCAUCAGCGUUGGGUCGAUGGUGUUGUGCCUCGGCAGCUGGGAUCAUGCAAGGCAGAUGGGAAGCAACAGUGCCGCCUCUCCCCCCGAGCUCCAAAUACAUGAUAGCAGCAUCGAGGAGGAGAAAAACUGCAUUCAGAGGUUACGGAAUGGCAAUGGGUGGGUUACCUCCCAGGAGCAGAUGACUGGCAUGGUUAGUGCUCUAGGCCAUGAAUCUCAUGGAUCCCAUGAUACAGUAUUUUUAUGGUGCAUGUAUCUGGUCCAAAUCCGACGGAGACAAGCAAAAUCGUGCUGCUUCUUCUUCUUUCGAUUCUACUAUGGGUACAAGCAACUUCUAUUUCGCUCGUCACCGGAAACCACCGCCCAGAUCCAUCUCUUCUCAACCAUGCCGACGUGGUGGUCAGGGGCGCUUACAACUUGUGAGGGCCUGCAUUCUCGCUGUUGAUCCGUGAUGGCAUGUCCUCCCCGCGCCCUAGCCGCGUUUUAGCUGAUGGUUUGGGUCUGCCGGUGGAGGGAGAGGGGGCGACCUCUGUCGCUCCUUCUCUCUAGCCUCUUCAUCUUGAUGAAGCUGUAGGAGUAGAGGGGCAUGCGCGUGAUGGAUCUGCUCCAAGCACCUCAAGCCACGCAUCUUCAAGGGAUUAAACGAUUGAUGAAAAGGCUUGUCAUAGAAGAGAGAUGGUGAGAGAGAACAUAAUGGAGUGGAAUUUCAUGACAAGCUUCCACAAAAUUCAAAGAAUCUACGGGGAUAUGAGACAAGAGAGUGAAUUCUUUUCACUUGUAUCAUCUUGGCCCUGUAUUAAAAAAGAGAGUCUGGGACUAUUAUAGGGGUCUUAUUUUGAGAAAUAUUAUAAGGGACUAUGGGACGGUGCGAUCAGUUGCUACCAUGGUUAUCAAUGUAUUCGUGAGUAAUUGCAGGUUUUCUUUGCCACAAAGGUGCACACAUAUUGUAGUAAGCCACAUGGUUUUGUAGCUUCAGGCAUGAGACUAAAACCGUUCUCUAUUUUUUCCUUAAUUGUAGUCAGUGGGUACCACAUAUUUCUUUUGAUAGAUUGUGACAUGUUUCUACUUUUUACACCACAAUCGUACUCUCGUAGAUGGACAUGAAGAAUAUUUGCCUGGUGAAAAUGCGAUUUUGAGUGCGGUGAAUUUUGCCUGAUAUGUAUUCUUGUUGUAUGGUGGAUGGGAAAGAGCGACACGGCCUUUCCAUUGAUCCAUCACCAAUUCCUUCUGAUUCCAUUCACAUCAGCCCUCCGUCGCCGGUGGAUGACAACGGCGAGGUGCGGCUGGGACUCCAUGAGGAGGCCGCAAAUAAGAAAUGUGAUGGUUUUGUUUCUCUCUUUACAUAUUUCUUUUUCUUAAGGGCAGACGAGAAAAAUUGAUGAAACAUGUAAGUUGUCAAAUUCUUUUGCUUUAUCUUGAGAAGUGCAAGUUUUCUAAAAAUUGUGAUGCAAAUUUGGUAAGGUGGUAGAGAUCCUCAACAUAUAAUAUUGUAUAUGCUCCUCCUCAGGAUGUAGUGAACUAGGGAUCUAUUAUGCUUUUUCUUGACCAAAUCCAAAGUACUAUUAUUAGGAGGUCCACCUGUUCUUAAACCAUGUGUACAUGAUUUCCUUUUUGUAUUUGUUUUAGUAUAUCUUCCAGUCUUCUUAAUGAUUUUUCACAUAUGUGUUUCUAUGUCAGUGCUGCUCGGAGUGGUGCAUACAACGUCCAGUUUUGCUUGGCUGAUACACAUGUGGACCAUGACUUGCUUCCCUUUAUUUUGCUCACUGAACAGGUGCCAUUAACUC